GACGAACGCUGGCGGCGUGCUUAACACAUGCAAGUCGAACGGAAAGGCCUCUUUCGGGGGGUACUCGAGUGGCGAACGGGUGAGUAACACGUGAGUAACCUGCCCUUGACUUUGGGAUAACUUCAGGAAACUGGGGCUAAUACCGGAUAGGAGCUCCUGCUGCAUGGUGGGGGUUGGACAGUUUCGGCGGUUGGGGAUGGACUCGCGGCUUAUCAGCUUGUUGGUGGGGUAGUGGCUUACCAAGGCUUUGACGGGUAGCCGGCCUGAGAGGGGGACCGGCCACAGUGGGACUGGGAUACGGCCCAGACUCCUACGGGAGGCAGCAGUGGGGAAUAUUGCACAAUGGGUGGAAGCCUGAUGCAGCAACGCCGUGUGCGGGAUGACGGCCUUCGGGUUGUAAACCGCUUUCGCUCAUGACGAAGCUUUGUGUGACGGUAGUGGGUAAAGAAGCACCGGCUAACUACGUG
rnacentral:rRNA from 1 species